UUUUGAGUAGUCUACUUAAAGCUCCAUUGCUAAAUAUGGCUAGUUGCACGUGAGAUAACUGAACCAAAUUUUUGGCGUGCGAUAUUGCUUCACUGUAUCUGGCAGCACUCUAGUUUUUCUUGCCAAAUCUUGACAAACCUGCAGAGUGCGGUGUCAUCAGUCUUUUGAUGCAAGCUCAUAGGAAGGAAUCAUCCAGUGGUCACAAGGAAUGCAUGAGGUAUGGUCCGGUGCUGCCACAAACGGUGGAACUUGAUUCUGGAGAAUUGGAAAAGGUUCUAGAUCCUAUGCAUGAGGUGCACCGAAGAAAAGGCUGAAGCCAAAGAAGCAUAAAAGAUCUAACACAAAAUACUGCUAUUGCAAGGUGGAGGGUCACAAUCAGCAUAAAUACGCCAAGUGGAUAGAGGACAAUAAGCUGACAGAACCUUAUUAACUACAGCUCUCUUAACAUUUGUGAAGUAAUGAUCCAGGAUUAUACAAAAACGCUUAAUACAUAUGUGAAGGAAUACAUGAGUUCCUGUUGGCUGUAUCCAUUGCCAGCUGAAGCAAACGGCUGCGGACGAAUGGCUGUGUUGGUGCUACAGCUGCGGGCUACUCUGCUGCUAUCCUGGAGUACCUGACUGCUGAAGUUCUGGAGCUGGCUGGGAACGCGAGCAAGGAUCUGAAGGUGUUGCGUAUCACCCAUCACCAUCUUCAGCUGGCCAUCCAUGGAGAUGAAGAGCUGGAUACCCUCAUCAAGGGUACCAUUGCUAGUGGGGGUGUGAUCCCGCACAUCCACAUGCCCCUGAUCGAAGUUAUCCGUCCAGUUAUCUUGAAGUAGCACAGGACAUUUUUGCAACCGUGUGUGAGACUUCAUAUCUUUUAGCCUUUAGCUAUGCUUCCAGAUCGAAGUGAUCCCUCUGUGUACUGCUUCCUGGUACUGCUUGAGUUAUUUGGAACAUUGUAUUCGUGUAUUCGUGUUCAUUUGUUCACUUCGUGGUAGAUCCUGAAUGCAAAACCUUUUUUACAUGCUUUGAGUAAUUGUGGUGUUUUACUGAAUCUA